GUCCACGCCCUAAACGAUGAGAACUAGACGUUGGGGAGUUUAUCUUCCCAGUGUCGCAGCUAACGCGUUAAGUUCUCCGCCUGGGGAGUACGGCCGCAAGGUUAAAACUCAAAGGAAUUGACGGGGCCCGCACAAGCGGUGGAGCAUGUGGUUUAAUUCGAUGCAACGCGAAGAACCUUACCUGCCCUUGACAUCCCGGGAACCCUGCAGAGAUGCGGGGGUGCCCCUUCGGGGAACCCGGAGACAGGUGCUGCAUGGCUGUCGU
rnacentral:rRNA from 1 species